UUUUUUUUUAAUUCCAACCCCCCCGCCUAACGGCUGAACCAGCAACUUGGAGGAAUGUAUAGCAAUAGCUACUUGUAUCAUUAAUGAUGCAAGCUCGACUAUGUUGAAUAAAGUUCUAGGUAGAAUUAUGAUGAUGACAUUGUCUGCCUAUGUGUCUUGACCAAAUUACGUGCCAGCAGUCGCGGUAAUACGUAGAAGACUAGUGUUAUUCAUGUUUAAUCGGUUUAAAGGGUACCUAGACGGUGAAUCAAGCUUUAAAAUAAAUAAGAAAAGGGACUAAUUCGCUAGAGUUACUUACGAGGGGGUAUUAAAGUACUGCUGGUGUAGAGAUGAAAUUCUGUCAUACCUCUUUUCGAAAGAAAAAUAAUGGCACAGGUAUAGGCGAAGGCAUCCCCUUAUGUGAUAACUGACGUUGAGGGACGAAGGCUUCGUGUAACAAACAGGAUUAGAUACCCUAGUAGUUGAAGCAGAAAAUGAUGAAUGUCAUAGAUUAGACGUCUAAGUUUAUUCUAUAAAUGAAAGUGUAAGCAUUCCACCUCAUGAGUAAUUUGGCAACAUUGGAAUUGAAAUCAUUAGACCGUUUCUGAAACCAGUAGUGAAGUAUGUUGUUUAAUUUGAUAAUCCGCAAAAAACCUUACCACAAUUUGAAUAUUUAUAUUCUUUAUUGUUAUCUCAUUAAUUUUAUUCCUUUUUUUUACUUGCGAAGUAUUAAAAAACUAAACAAUUAAAAACCAAAUACAGGGUAAGAGAAUAAAUUAAUCAAGAGGCAAUAACAUAUAUGUACAAGCGUUGCACGGCUGUCUUCAGUUAAUGUCGCGAGACUUUGGUUAGUUCCAUUAAAUUAACGUAAACCCUUACUUUAUUUUUUAUAUAGAGUAGUUCCCCGCUAUAUUGGAUAUGAUAACAGGGAUCAAGACAAGUCAUCAUGGC
rnacentral:rRNA from 1 species